GGAGUGGGGCAAGCGGUCAUCCAGAUCGCCGCAGCCCUGGGCCUAAGAACCAUCAAUGUGGUCCGAGACAGACCUGAUAUCCAGAAGCUGAGUGACAGACUGAAGAGUCUGGGGGCUGAGCAUGUCAUCACAGAAGAGGAGCUAAGAAGGCCCAAAAUGAAAAACUUCUUUAAGGACAUGCCCCAGCCACGGCUUGCUCUCAACUGUGUUGGUGGGAAAAGCUCCACAGAGCUGCUGCGGCAGUUAGCGCGUGGAGGAACCAUGGUAACCUAUGGGGGGAUGGCCAAGCAGCCCGUCGUAGCCUCUGUGAGCCCAGCAUGUCCUUCCUGUGUCUGCAGAGCCUGCUCAUUUUUAAGGAUCUCAAACUUCGAGGCUUUUGGUUGUCCCAGUGGAAGAAGGAUCACAGUCCAGACCAGUUCAAGGAGCUGAUCCUCACACUGUGCGAUCUCAUCCGCCGAGGCCAGCUCACAGCCCCUGCCUGCUCCCAGGUCCCGCUGCAGGACUACCAGUCUGCCUUGGAAGCCUCCAUGAAGCCCUUCAUAUCUUCAAAGCAGAUUCUCACCAUGUGAUCAUCCCAAAAGAGCUGGAGUGACAUGGGAGGGGAGGCGGAUCUGAGGGGCUGGGUGCAGGCCCCUCAGUUGGGGUUCCCACCUUCCCCAGACUACUGUUCUCCUCACUGCCUCUUCCUAUUAGGAGGAUGGUGAAGCCAGCCACGAUUUUCCCCAGGGCCAGCCUUAAGGUAUCUAAUAAAGUCUGAACUCUCCCUUCCAAAAAGUAGAA
rnacentral:sRNA from 1 species